rnacentral:rRNA from 1 species
UACGAAGGGGGCUAGCGUUGCUCGGAUUUACUGGGCGUAAAGCGCACGUAGGCGGAUCGUUAAGUCGGGGGUGAAAUCCUGGAGCUCAACUCCAGAACUGCCUUCGAUACUGGCGAUCUUGAGUCCGGAAGAGGUGAGUGGAACUCCUAGUGUAGAGGUGGAAUUCGUAGAUAUUAGGAAGAACACCAGUGGCGAAGGCGGCUCACUGGUCCGGUACUGACGCUGAGGUGCGAAAGCGUGGGGAGCAAACAGG